AGAGGGUGCGAGCGUUAAUCAGAAUUACUGGGCGUAAAGCGCGCGUAGGCGGAUGUCUAAGUCGGAUGUGAAACUCCCCGGGCUUAACCUGGGAACUGCAUUCGAUACUGGGCGCCUAGAGUACGGUAGAGGGUAGUGGAAUUCCCGGUGUAGCGGUGGAAUGCGUAGAUAUCGGGAAGAACACCAGUGGCGAAGGCGGCUACCUGGACCAGUACUGACGCUGAGGUGCGAAAGCGUGGGGAGCAAACAGGGAUUAGAGACCCUGGUAGUCCACGCCGUAAACGAUGAGAACUAGAUGCUAGGUAGCUUGACUAUUUAGUAUCGUAGCUAACGCGUUAAGUUCUCCGCCUGGGGAUACGGCCGCAAGGCUAA
rnacentral:rRNA from 1 species